rnacentral:rRNA from 1 species
GAGUGGCGUAAGGGCGAGGAAUACAUGGGCAAUCUGCCUCUAAAAUUGGGAUAACCCUUCGAAAGGAGGGCUAAUACCGAAUGUGGUCGGUCCGGGCAUCCGGACUUAUCCAAAGACGGGGAUCGCAAGACCUGUCGUUUAGAGAUGAGCUCAUGUCCUAUCAGCUUGUUGGUGAGGUAACGGCCCACCAAGGCGAAGACGGGUAGCUGGUCUGAGAGGAUGGUCAGCCGCACUGGGACUGAGACACUGCCCAGACUCCUACGGGAGGCUGCAGUCGAGGAUCUUGGACAAUGAACGAAAGUUUGAUCCAGCGACGUCGCGUGGAGGAUGAAGGCCUUCGGGUUGUAAACUCCUGUCGUGAGGGAACAAUAUGUUCAGGGAUAAUACCCCUGGAAAUUGAUAGUACCUCAGGAGGAAGCCACGGCUAACUCUGUGCCAGCAGCCGCGGUAAUACAGAGGUGGCAAGCGUUGUUCGGAUUUACUGGGCGUAAAGGGUGCGUAGACGGUCAGGUGUGUCGGGUGUGAAAUCCCACGGUUCAUCCGUGGAACUGCAUUCGAAACUACUUGGCUAGAGUGCAGGAGAGGAGAGCGGAAUUCUUGGUGUAGCAGUGAAAUGCGUGGAUAUCAAGAGGAACACCGGUGGCGAAGGCGGCUCUCUGGACUGCGACUGACGCUGAGGCACGAAAGCUGGGGGAGCAAACAGGAUUAGAUACCCUGGUAGUCCCAGCUGUAAACGUUGUACACUUGGUGUAGGCGGAUUGUCCCCGUCUGUGCCGAAGCAAACGCGAUAAGUGUACCGCCUGGGGAGUACGGUCGCAAGACUAAAACUCAAAGAAAUUGACGGGGGCCCGCACAAGCGGUGGAGCAUGUGGCUUAAUUCGAUGCAACGCGAAGAACCUUACCAAGACUUGACAUACUGGUAGUAGAAGCUUGAAAGAGUAACGAUCUCGCAAGAGAAGCCAGAACAGGUGCUGCAUGGCUGUCGUCAGCUCGUGCCGUGAGGUGUUGGGUUAAGUCCCGCAACGAGCGCAACCCCUGUGAUUAGUUGCCACUCCGCAAGGAAGCACUCUAAUCAGACUGCCUGUGAUAAGCAGGAGGAAGGUGGGGAUGACGUCAAGUCAGUAUGGUCCUUAUGUCUUGGGCUGCACACGUGCUACAAUGGUCGGUACAGAAGGAUGCCAAACCGCGAGGUGGAGCAGAUCCCUAAAACCGGCCUCAGUUCAGAUUGAAGUCUGCAACUCGACUUCAUGAAGCUGGAAUCGCUAGUAAAGGCGUAUCAGCUACGACGCCUUGAAUACGUUCCCGGGCCUUGUACACACCGCCCGUCACAUCACGAAAGUCGGUUGCACCCGAGAUCGCUGAUCUAACCCGCAAGGGGAGUAGGCGCCUAAG